rnacentral:rRNA from 1 species
CUACGGGGUGCUGCAGUGAGGAAUAUUGCACAAUGGGGGGAACCCUGAUGCAGCAACGCCGCGUGGAGGAUGACGCAUUUCGGUGUGUAAACUCCUUUUAUAUGUCAAGAAAAUGACGGUAGCAUAUGAAUAAGCACCGGCUAACUCCGUGCCAGCAGCCGCGGUAAUACGGAGGGUGCAAGCGUUACUCGGAAUCACUGGGCGUAAAGGGCGCGUAGGCGGGUUGGAAAGUCAGGUGUGAAGUCCUACAGCUUAACUGUAGAACUGCACUUGAAACUUCUAAUCUAGAGUAUGGGAGGGGGAGAUGGAAUUAGUGGUGUAGGGGUAAAAUCCGUAGAUAUCACUAGGAAUACCUAAAGCGAAGGCGAUCUCCUGGAACAUUACUGACGCUAAGGCGUGAAAGCGUGGGGAGCAAACAGGAUUAGAUACCCUCGUAGUC